GGUUGUGGAUGAUGAGAUUCUAUAUUUACACAGUUAUCCCUGUCUGAUAGAUUUAAUCUUGAUGAGAUUAUGUGAUCUGACACAAUC